rnacentral:rRNA from 1 species
CAGUCGAGCGAGCGGAACCACAGAUUUACUUCGGUAAUGACGUUGGGAAAGCGAGCGGCGGAUGGGUGAGUAACACGUGGGGAACCUGCCCCUAAGUCUGGGAUACCAUUUGGAAACAGGUGCUAAUACCGGAUAAUAAAGCAGAUCGCAUGAUCAGCUUUUGAAAGGCGGCGUAAGCUGUCGCUAAGGGAUGGCCCCGCGGUGCAUUAGCUAGUUGGUAAGGUAACGGCUUACCAAGGCGACGAUGCAUAGCCGAGUUGAGAGACUGAUCGGCCACAUUGGGACUGAGACACGGCCCAAACUCCUACGGGAGGCAGCAGUAGGGAAUCUUCCACAAUGGACGCAAGUCUGAUGGAGCAACGCCGCGUGAGUGAAGAAGGUUUUCGGAUCGUAAAGCUCUGUUGUUGGUGAAGAAGGAUAGAGGUAGUAACUGGCCUUUAUUUGACGGUAAUCAACCAGAAAGUCACGGCUAACUACGUGCCAGCAGCCGCGGUAAUACGUAGGUGGCAAGCGUUGUCCGGAUUUAUUGGGCGUAAAGCGAGCGCAGGCGGAAAAAUAAGUCUAAUGUGAAAGCCCUCGGCUUAACCGAGGAACUGCAUCGGAAACUGUCUUUCUUGAGUGCAGAAGAGGAGAGUGGAACUCCAUGUGUAGCGGUGGAAUGCGUAGAUAUAUGGAAGAACACCAGUGGCGAAGGCGGCUCUCUGGUCUGCAACUGACGCUGAGGCUCGAAAGCAUGGGUAGCGAACAGGAUUAGAUACCCUGGUAGUCCAUGCCGUAAACGAUGAGUGCUAAGUGUUGGGAG